CGCGUAAGAACUUGCCCUUUAGACUGGGAUAACAGAGGGAAACUUCUGAUAAUACUGGAUAAGUUAGUAUAUCGCAUGAUAUGCAAAUGAAAGCUACGGCACUAAAGGAGAGCUUUGCGUCCUAUUAGCUAGUUGGUAAGGUAAGAGCUUACCAAGGCGAUGAUAGGUAGCCGGCCUGAGAGGGUGGACGGCCACAAGGGGACUGAGAUACGGCCCUUACUCCUACGGGAGGCAGCAGCG
rnacentral:rRNA from 1 species